GUAGGUGGCGAGCGUUAUCCGGAUUUAUUGGGCGUAAAGCGUGCGCAGGCGGUUUAUUAAGUCUAAGAUUAAAGCCCGGAGCUUAACUCCGGUUCGUCUUAGAAACUGGUAGACUUGAGUAUGGUAGAGGCAAAUGGAAUUCCUAGUGUAGCGGUGGAAUGCGUAGAUAUUAGGAGGAACACCAGUGGCGAAGGCGAUUUGCUGGGCCAUUACUGACGCUCAUGCACGAAAGCGUGGGGAGCAAA
rnacentral:rRNA from 1 species